CCUCUGGGUUGGAAUCAAUAGAUGACCUUAAAUAUGUAAGGCAAGAAGACAUUGCUGACCUGCUUCCCAUCAUUCAACAGCGCAAGCUACUGGAUGCAUUUAAAAUGGAAACAGAAAUCAUUACUUUGAAUCUCCAGAUUGAGCCUACAGCCACCUCCCCAGGAAGCAGCGUUUUGUCUUCACUGCCGUGCUCCACUCAAUCCAGUGUAAGGAUGAGUACUUCAACAGGGUCCAGUAGCCAAGAAAACUGUGAGCCACCCUCCCUCAUAAGAAAGGCAUGGACAGAAACCUUCCAGGUUCCAUGGAAUCUUAUGCCUGUCGAGGUUCAAACAGCCAUCUCUGAAGUCGUUUGCCACUGCAGCUGACUUGGAGAGCAUGCUCACCCUACCGGCAACUCCUCGGUUGCUGCUGCUUGGUGAGAAAACAUCCAGCCGUAUUGAGCACUGGAUGGUCAGUCUUGAGGGACACAUCAUCUGUGAGGGCAUACAGCCAACUUUCUUGACCGGUCUUGCUGCUGUGUUUUCUACAUUCUACAGCUUCAAUCUUCAAUAUCAAGAAGAAGCCGCAUGUACACUCGAAUUCAUUCAAAG